GCUGGCGGCGUGCCUAACACAUGCAAGUCGAGCGAGAAAGCUCCUUCGGGAGUGAGUAAAGCGGCGAACGGGUGAGCAACGCGUGAGAAUCUACCCUUUAGUGAAGAAUACCCCCGAGAAAUCGGGGCUAAUACUGCAUAAGUCCCUUCGGGGAGAAAGAUGGCCUCUUUGCUAUCGCUAAAGGAUGAGCUUGCGUACUAUUAGCUAGUUGGCGGGGUAACGGCCCACCAAGGCGAUGAUGGUUAACCGGCCUGAGAGGGUGUACGGUCACACUGGAACUUAGACACGGUCCAGACUCCUACGGGAGGCAGCAGUGAGGAAUCUUGCGCAAUGGGCGAAAGCCUGACGCAGCGACGCCGCGUGGAGGAUGAAGGUUUUCGGAUUGUAAACUCCUGUUAAGCGGGAAGAAAGGCCCAUUUCUAAUAAAGAUGGGACAUGACGGUACCGCUAGAGAAAGCACCGGCUAACUUCGUGCCAGCAGCCGCGGUAAUACGAGGGGUGCAAGCGUUAUUCGGAUUUAUUGGGCGUAAAGGGUGUGCAGACGGUUUGUUAAGUCACCUUGUUAAAUUCUUCGGCCUAACUGAAGGUAUGCGAGUGAUACUGAUGAACUAGAGAGUGGAAGAGAGAAGUGGAAUUCUCGGAGUAGCGGUAAAAUGCGUAGAUCUCGAGAGGAACACCAAUGGCGAAGGCAGCUUCUUGGUCCAUUUCUGACGUUCAUACACGAAAGCGUGGGGAGCAAACAGGAUUAGAUACCCUGGUAGUCCACGCUGUAAACGAUGAUCACUAGACGUUAAUUCUGUUUACAGGAUUAGUGUCGUAGCUAACGCGUUAAGUGAUCCGCCUGGGGAUUACGGUCGCAAGACUAAAACUCAAAGGAAUUGACGGGGGCCCGCACAAGCGGUGGAACAUGUGGUUUAAUUCGACACUACGCGAGGAACCUUACCUAGGCUUGACAUGCUUUUGACUGUCGUAGAAAUACGAUUUUCUUGGCUUCGGUCAAGACAAUUGCACAGGUGCUGCAUGGCUGUCGUCAGCUCGUGUCGUGAGAUGUUGGGUUAAGUCCUCUAACGAGCGCAACCCUUGCUGUCAGUUGCUAUUUGCGUGAGCAAAGCACUCUGAUGGGACUGCCUGGGAAACCAGGAGGAAGGUGGGGAUGACGUCAAGUCCUCAUGGCCUUUAUGCCUAGGGCAACACACGUGUUACAAUGGUUGGUACAAAGAGUUGCGAGCUCGUAAGAGUAAGCUAAUCUCGGAAAGCCAAUCUAAGUUCAGAUUGAGGUCUGCAACUCGACCUCAUGAAGUUGAAAUCGCUAGUAAUCGCAUAUCAGAACGAUGCGGUGAAUACGUUCUCGGGCCUUGUACACACCGCCCGUCACACCAUGAGAGCUGUUUGUACCCAAAAACAUUUUAGCCAACCCGUAAGG
rnacentral:rRNA from 1 species